ACGCUCGACACCUACGGGAGCAGCAGUGGGGAAUAUUGCACAAUGGGGGAAACCCUGAUGCAGCGACGCCGCGUGGAGGAAGAAGGUCUUCGGAUUGUAAACUCCUGUUGUUGGGGAAAAAGAGGAUGGUACCCAACAAGGAAGUGACGGCUAACUACGUGCCAGCAGCCGCGGUAAUCUGAGCGGGCGUGGCGAAGGC
rnacentral:rRNA from 1 species